GUCCCACGGGGCGCAGCAGUGGGGAAUAUUGCGCAAUGGAAGAAAGUCUGACGCAGCGACGCCGCGUGAGGGAUGAAGGUUUUCGGAUCGUAAACCUCUGUCAGGAGGGAAGAAAGCGCAUGGCGCCAAUCACCGCUGCGUCGCCGCUCCCUCCCCCCCCACAGCCGGCUAACUCCGUGCCAGCAGCCGCGGUAAUACGGAGGGCGCGAGCGUUAAUCGGAAUUACUGGGCGUAAAGCGCGCGUAGGCUGUUGUGUAAG
rnacentral:rRNA from 1 species